GCUAGCUACAGCUGCAGUGUCAGAAAGCCAAAUGUGUGUGCCAAAACACUGUCAUUCUGGAGGGAGUUGGUAUUGUAGGCCUUUUAGUGUGGGAACUUUAAUAACCGCACCUUGUUAAAUCUCACGUCAUUGCCUGUACUCCAGGUUCAUAUUGUUUUAGCUUUCUGAAGAGGAGGAGUGUUGCAAGCCUCUGUACCCCGGCCAACUCCAACAGAAGCAUUGAUAUUCUGCCCACCCAACCUGCUCUGUUGUUGUAGGAGUUGCCCUUUGCAGACUCUGCUAAUGUGUUCCCCUCCUGAAGGAUACAGCCUCUAUGACCGCAGGCCCACAUCUUACUAAUCUACAGCCCUGGAAAUCCACAGAGGCUGCUGUCGCAGAGAAAUGCUCCUCCUUCCUCCAGGCAGCCCUGGGUGAGGACACCUGUGUUGGGUAUCCUAAAACUGCUGCCUCUCUGGUGGAAGAGGAGCCUCCAACCACGAAAUACUACAAACACCACAAUCAGUCCUCAAUAACGUGCUGAAUGCCUGGAAGUCCUAACCCAUGCCACAGGCCUGCCAGAGGGAAAUUUUAAAGUCCAGCAGGAUCUGGGAUGGGAUAUAGGCUGGCAAGGUAAUAAUCACACCCAUUUGACUGAGGAUGCCUUGAAAUGAAACAUGGCAGCUGUGGGAAAGAAGAAAGCAAAUGUUGAUGUGGAGACUGCCCCUCACCACCUCCUUCCUCUGCCAAAAUGCAACAGCAAGGUGAUUUCUGGGAACGUUCAUAGUGUAGGAGUUCUCCGACAGCAGUAAACAAGUUACCUGCACAGAGGUGGCUGCAAAAGCAAACUGAAGUAGGAGUUGAUGAGGGAAAAUCGGAAGGCACAGUUAUCGUCAGUCAGCGAGCCGUGGUCAAGUUCAACAAAAGAUUUAAACAGAGCUCCUUUUGCUUCAGAUGAAAUUCUCAUCUGCACUAUGAUGACUCACAGGCUGCAAACCAAGAAAAAAAGGAGAAGAAAUAAUCACCAGGGAAGGGUAACACUUAAGCAAACAAACAAAGAAAUGGAAGUGCUGCAGCUCUAUGAGGCUGAAAGAAUGAGUGUAUAUCCUGUGAUGCUCUUGGCUAUGUGACAGUGGUUUCCUUUUGUGUUUCUGUCUCAGUAAAAUUAGAGGCGUAUGUUUGGAGCUUGGGGGAUGUGAGCUCAGCUUCUGAUUCUGCACAGCCUCCUGUGAGGCACGGGACAAAUUCUUAGAUCUCUCUGGAUCUCACCUGUAAAACAGUAAAAACAUUCCUUGUCUAUUUAAAUUACUGGUCCUUCCUAUGGGUUUCUACUGGGCCUAGAGGAGCAGAGCCCUCAUCUAUCAUCACGCUCUCUAGCUGCCGCUGUGCUAUGAAUAAUAGUGUUUAUUAAUCAUAAUAAACACGUCAGCACUGUCAGAGAGUGUACACAGAGCAAAUAGAACAGUGUCUGACAACCACAUCCUGCCAGGUAAGUCGGGAGGUUGAAAAUGAGAAUUCUGCUGCAGAUCAUAUAAAAUCCAGAGAUUGGCCCGACUCUUCCUGUGGGCAAUAUUGGAGGAAAAAAAGAAAAGGUCAAUUUUAUUCUAAAAAAUAGGACAGUAAUAGCCUAUGUGGUGUGUCCCUCGCUAAUGUGCCAAGACAGCUCCUGACAUUUACAGACUGAAAUAGCGAGGGAAUCUAGAUAGCGUGCAUCCAGUUCAAAAUGAAUAUAAUAGGAACAGCAAGCCCUAAUUUUAAUGUAUAAACUGAAAUCAGCUAAAUUUACCGGUUAAGUCUUCCCCAAGUUGCUCUCCUCUUCUGCCUCCAUCACCCAGGCCACCAUUUUGGUUGAGAGGUGACAAUGAGCAGGAUGUAGGUCUUCCAAGCUGCUGGCCUCAGUUACCAGCCCCUUCACCUGGCCCAUGUCCUGCGUGUGGAUCACCCUACUGAGAGAGAGGUGGAAAGCAGCCCACCUCGGGGAGCCUCAUGCUUUGAACGUGCAAUGAGCUGGCACGCAGUGGUAAGACACAACUCAAAGUGGGUCCAGUUGCCUCAAAUAAGCCAUUGUUUUCCAGAGUGGUGUACAAAAUGGAGGUCAUUCCAAAAGCAACCUGUGGGAGGAUCCACUCUUGUCCACGUGAAAUCAUAACUGCGGCACAGAGCAGGGAGGUAAGUUCUGAAUUUUGGACUGUUUAUACUAAUAGGAGACAGAGAGAAAUCCUUUGAAACUACUGGGGUUACCUGAGACUUCAGCUGGUGUAAUCAGGUCAGAACCUGCUUCUAGGUCCUCCAGUUGAAUCUUAAUGUUUGGUCUAUGCUGGAGAUACUUGCUAUAGAGUUAAUCAUCUCUGUGUCCUGACAAGACCUCAUGGCACCUCUAUUCAUCAGAAUGACCUGCUGGGAGGAAUGGGCUUGUGACAUAUGGGCUGGAUUUGGAAAGAAUAACAAGAGACAUUCUGCAUACUUGAGAAAGGAUCUAAUUGAAACAAAAUCUUUUGAGAUGUAAGUGGUUUGCUGCGGAAUCAGGAAGUAGUUUUCCCUCCCUCUCUGUCUGCCUAUGGGUGUUUGAUAUAUUCUCCAGUGGGGCAUGCCGGGUCCUUGCUCUGCUUUUGUCCUGCAAUUUCAGCUCCAUAGCCAGGAAGCUGCGGAGUCUUUGGUGCCAGCUGCUGUGUGGCACACUGUGGCCACCACCAGCAGCCUCUGCCCUGCUGUGACACCUCCUCGGCCCUGCAGCCCAUGCCAAGAAUUAUUGGCAUAAACUUGCAGAAGAAACUGCAUGGAUGCUCAUUUUUGUAUUAAAUUCAUACCACCAUUUUUUAAAAUGCUGAAGGGAGGUGAGCACUCAUAAGCCCACUGAAUAGAUCUGAUUGAUUCUCUUCUGUUCUUUCACAAAUCCCAGCUUCAGAGAUGUCCCGGUAUGUGAACUCAGUCAACAGGUCAUGUGUGAGUGGCUUUAUAAUUUUCUCAUUGUGGCACUGCCAAUACCUUUGUGCACUUCAAUCACUCCCUGCUUGUUUCGAAACAAAGCAAGCACUAUUUGCAAAGCGUGUCUGCUGAAAGCAGUUCUCCAAACUGUUCACAAUGUGUGCAUCACCUGUGCCAGGAAAAUGUGUGUAUUUCCAUGUAAAAACCAUUUGUGCACCUGCCUUCAUAAAUCUUCUGUACUUAACCUGUGACCCAACCCUUUUGUUAUGUCAGAGGACGGUGAUGAGGUUAUGCUCCUGUUGCUGCUGACAGACAACAGCCACAACAAAAAAGGCACAGUUACUUAACACAAUCCCUGACGGUGAGCAGACGCUGGCAUUUCAAACCAUAGCUGAGCUGGACCUUAUUCAUCUCCUGGCAUGAGCACUUCUUUCAGGGGGAAAAUGUUUAUUUCAGGCAUGGGAACAGCCAGGUGGAGAAACAAAGACUUACCCUAAGCCACCAUUUCAAAUCCAUGGUGGAGACAGCAACAAAUGUCAGGGGACUGCCAGUCCCUCGUUCCAACCACAAGGCAAUUCCUGUUUCCCAGUGACUUCAAUAGCUGGCCAAGACCAAGCACUGUGGCACUACAGUUUGCUGGGGAUCCCAGAGUGGGAAAGGAUUUUCAUUUUAACCAAUUUUAAGCUGCAGAUAUUAAAUGUUCAGGUGGAUUGAAAUAACCCCACCUCUUCUAUCACAUGGCACGUAUGACUCUUCUACACCUUUUGCGUCGCCUUUGAUGUAGGAGCUGGACCGAUGUGUCCUCCCUGUCAGCACAUCACCUAAUACAUUUUUAAAGAGUUUCUGUAACAUCAGUACUAAAGAGCAAAAAUGUCAGCUUAUGUCUUAUCAAGAUGAAGAGCAAAAAUGCUCACUCUGCACUGCCUUCAGGAGAAAUGGCUGCACACAGGAACAAAGCCACGGCGCCAGCCAAACCACAUCUGAUUCUGAGAAAUCACCCUUGGAGAUGUUAUCUCUGAAACACAAAUGUUGGAAUGGUGGCACCUGUUCAAAAGUGUUCGAAAUACAUUUGUGUGUAUUUCUUCAACAUAUUUAUAACUCUAGAUCCUUUACAGGUGACUUAAAGACAGAAAACUCACGGUAGGGAGGAAAGAAUUUAGGAAGAGAUGAAGAGAAUCACAGAAUCUUUUUGAGAUAGAAGGGACCUUUAAAGGUCAUCUAGUCCAGCUCUCAUGUAAUAAACAGGGGCAGCUACAGCCUGACCUUGCACGUCACCAGGGACAGGGCAUCCACCACCUCCCUGGACAACCUGCUCCAGAGCCUUGAAGAACCUGUUCCUCUGACUCAAGAGAAGGUGAGAAACCACUCUGCUGACUGCACCGGUGGUUAUGUGUUGUUAUGGUACCACCAUAAGAACUCCCUUUCUACAACAGAUUUAUCUGGGGAUUGGUGCUGUAGCAGUGUCUUCUGUUCCUGAGCCUCCCCAACGCUGCCUGACUGCCAUUUGGCUCCCCUAUGAUACAGGCCAUGUAGAUGGAGUGGGAAUGUUUGCACCAGUGCCUCAUUACAGACCACAGUACCAGGGGCAAUUAAUGCCCAACAGCAUGUAUAAUCUGCCUUUCAGCAAUGUGAUCCCUCUUCCUUUCAGUUCCUCACCACAGCAUAUCACACCAAACAUCCCUGCCAUCUUUUGACAUAUCAUGGAGGGAGGAUUUAUUCAUAAAGACAUUCCAGGGCCCAGCUUCCCACUGAAAUGAAUGAUGGGCAUGAGGAGAGAUUGAGGUUGGCUCACCUCCUCUUUGGCAGCAGAAUGGAAGGACUAAAUAAGAUCCAUUUUGGAUCAUCUGAAUGAUAACAUGGAGCAUUUUUUUUCUUUUGAUGCUAGAAGAAUUUGCUUCUGUGAUUCUUCCAUAGCUUGUGGCUUUGCUAAUUAGCAAGAGAACUCCCGAUAGCAGAAAUCAAAGGAUCUUCCCCACGAUGAUGCUCUUGUUCAGUUGUGAAAGGAAAAUUAUGUGAUUUUGUAAUCUCUGGACAAUAAAGACCAUAUGUCGUGUGCAGAGCUCCCAGAUAUUCACAUGAGAGUGGGUUGGGUCAGUGCUAGCCAAGAAAUCUGAAUGCAGAAUUAAUGUCAUUAUGUGCUUUACUUUGCCCUAAUACUGAUCAUAAGGGGAGAGAGGAAAAGACACAAAUAUAAGAUUAUGACAAGAAUAAUGAAAAAAAUGUGUGUUCCAGGCUCAGAGAAAUUGUUUUGACAUCAGCUUUCACAUUUUUUUAUCAUCACCCCUUUGGGCAAAGUCAUCCAAAAGGACAAACGGAAAAUCAUACCACAGAUGAAGAUACAGAACCUGCCUCUCUUAGCAGACUGAAUGUGACAGAUAAAAUAAGACCUCAGGACUCAAGCAUGGUAGAAAAUAAAAAAAGUUUGUUUAAAAUAUUGCAGUUUUACUAAGUGGGGAGAUUGAUGAACCUGGUGUUACUUAAGAGGGGUUUGCCUGACACUAAUUUUUUUCCUAAUGUUAAUAUAGGCAGAUUGAGCAGUCAUAUCCUGAAGUGACAGCACUGCCAGCAACUGCUCCAGGACACAGCUGAGCUCUCCUCAGUGAGACCUGCUUUACCACUCAGAGUGCUCCUUGGAUACUGGAGGGUCACCUGCAGCCUGCAUGGUGGGGUCUUGCAUUGGGAAGAGCUUUGUGUGACUCUGCAUCUCUCUCAGACCUUCCUUAACAAGGAAGCUUCCCUUGAGCUUGCUGUGGAGAAGAGAUACAUUCCCAUUUUCACCUACUCUGUUUUAUUCACUCUUCCUCUUUUCCAGGAUUAUAUUUUUUCUAAGGUGCAUCAUUGUCAGAGAAGUAAUAUAUGAAAACACAUACAAUCAAGGCCUUGGGACCAUUGAAUGAACAUUCCUCUGUCUUCUGGAGAACCUUCUAUUCCCUUGAGACUUGCUUUCUGACUGCUGUUGGAGAUACAACCUUGGCAGGCAGGUUACAGGGCAGAGCAGAGACCAGGGGGACAGAACCCCGUCACUGAGCCAGAGCUGCAGCAGUGCUGACAGUAUCUAGGUCAGAAUGCAGCGAUUCUCCGUGGAUGAUGGAUGGCUGCAGAGCUGAAGGCCAGCACUGGCAGUGGAGCCAAGCACUCCUUUUCCAUCCAAAGGGCACAAAAUCCCCCCUCAUCCAUCCAGCAUCAUUGGGAGGGGGCCCCAUGCCAUAGCCACCAGAGCUGAACUAAUGCCCAUCACUGAUCACUGCUCCACAGAGCCGAGAAAUCAGCGUUGCCAUGGGAUUCGGAUACAAUAAGCCAAAGGAUCUGGAUAUCAACCAAGUGCCCAGCUACCAGGGCCCUAAAAACAAAACUGAUGCUGAAUCUCUCCUCUAAAAACGUCACACUUCUCUUUCUCGCACAGGAGAACAAUGUCAAAUGUUACCCCAUAUUAUUCUCGUGUUUUGAAUAUCUGCACUUUGAAGUUUGUUUGGCUCCAGGCAAGCUUGUGCACUCAAACAUUUAUGUGCUUCCUCCAAACACCUUCAUUGGCCUAAUGAAAGAUAAUGCCUCAGCCAACAACCGUACUGUCCUCAAUGAGAUACAGCUUUGGAAGCCAGCCCACCAACCAUUCACAGACCAUAUAUCACAACGAUGACCAUGAACCUUCUCCCUCCUGCUACUGUGCCUCAGCCCGCUGUGACCAGAUCAUGAAAGGAUCAGUGCUUUCCCUAUAUGUCAUCCCCUAGCACUGUAAGACUGGCACCUGUCUCUCAAGAUUUGUGCUAAGCCCUGGGUCUUCCUCAGAGAUUGAUUCAUGCAGCCAUGGCUUUCAAUGUCAGAAGAGACCACAGGAUCACCCUGCCUGGUAGCAGAGGUCAUCAUUUUCACAGGGUUCACACCAACUCAUGCUUUGUUGAAGCACGUCCCUCAAACAGAUGACAGUCCCCUCUUGAUUUGACAGCUGCAGAGGAUGGAAGAUCUGUAUCUUCCCACUACUGACAGAAGUUUAUAAGGUCAUUCGUGAGGUUUAUUCCCAUUUAUUGAAAGCACCAGGGGAACUUUCCUGUUUGUCUUGAUUCCUGGCAGAAGACAACAUCUAGUUCUGUGCUCCUGACCUAAACUGUUAAACUGUGAUGCCAACCAUCUAACCAGCCUGCCUUCCCAGCAAGGCCUUACUGUCUAUGAAGUGCCCUAUAACCUGGGAUUUUGAGUAGCAAUACUAAGAAAAGGAGGGUGCCAAAAAAAAUGUUCACGCUUCUGAGCUGCUUCUGCAAUGAUGGGGAAAGAGGGCUGAUAUUAACAAGUGUUUGGGGGCAGGAACUGUCUGUUAUUUGUAUUUCAGGCGAUAGCUAACACAUUAUAGGCGUUAAUCUAAUAAUAUUCACUGGCUGUCUGAUACAGGAUGCUUUGUCUGAACUAGCCAGCCUAACACAGAUCGCCGCUUUGUUUCUGCCAUAGUAGAACUUACCAGAACAGCAUUUUUUACUAUGAACAUUUCUGCCUCAAUCCUGCGCGUUCUGAUGCUGGGUAACUUCCUCUCCCAACUGGCACUGAACAAAAAGACCUGGAGUAUAAACCACGUGGUUUAGCGAGCACACAGUGCUUGCUCAUCGUAGGUGGGCACACACAGAGGUGCAGCAGCUGACUGGCCACCACGACCUCAUGCAGAUCUCAGCUUGUUCCCUCACCCACAGCAGUGCCCUCAUGAUGCAGUGCUGUUGUUCAGUUCAGUACAGAGAUGGCUGUGCAAAGUCUCAUUGAUGAGAACAGGGGGCAGUUUUUGAAGAUUAUAUAGUGCACAUUUAAUUAAUAAAUCCCUAUUAGUGGCCCUGGUUAGAAAAAGACACGGCUUCUGCACCUUUUCAGCUUGCAGAUGUGAUGCACCAAAAAAUUCCCUUUCUGUUCUCAGCUCCGCGAUGUGGAUAUCCUCACUGGGAGCUGACAGAAAGCAAGGCACAGGAAGGACCUCCUCCACUGUGUGUUCUGUGCCCACCAAAGCUGCUCUUAUCUACCUCCGGAGAAGACAGAAAAAAGCAAUCUUGUGGCCCAGACAGAUCCCGGUGGAGCAGGAAGCACUGCACCACACAGGGUAAAACUGGUACAAAAUGUUACUAAUCAAACACGUGGAAAGAAACGAAGGGGAGAGAGAACAAAACUGUCAUUACCCACUAUUUUGACUGUUGAAUCUGGACUAUUCAUAGUAACACACCAAGUGUAUCCAUCCUACUGCAGUAACGAGUGACAGCCGACUACUCAACAAUUAGGUUUUCCUUCUCCACCUCCAAAAUUAAGGUCGUAACCUCUUGUAUUUACUUUCGGGAUGUGGUAAAUUAGAGCUUUGGCUUCAUUGCAAAAAUUAAUUAAAGCAGUCACACAAUGGUGCCAUUCAUUGCUGUUCUCGUCCCUCCCCGCAGUCUGUCCUCAUGUCAGCUCUCUUUGGUUUUAGUCCCAAAUUCCAGUACGUGCUCGCCUGAAUGUAUUAUUUGGGUAAGUAGGCUAGAUUUUUCUUUUUGUCUAUCGCCUUUGCUUCGUUGGAAGAGCUCCUCUUGUUUCUGAUUCUUCUGUUUCCUUUUCUGAAGAAAGCACACGCCGGCAGCCUUCAGCCCCAUCUUACCUACCCAGAAGCUUUCACCUGUGUAGUUUGCAGCAGAACUGGGCUCACAGGAAAGCACUCACCUCAAGAUUUCUCCUCACCGACAUCCCAGGUGUCUGGUUCCGUAAAAGAGGAUCGGUGUUCAAGUUGCUUUCAUCAGAAUUUCAAAAAGUAAACACAGCUAAAUAGGAAGAAAAAUAUAUAUAUUCCAUACUUUUGUGGAGCUGGAAGUCUGCCCAUUGAAAUAUGUUGUGGCUUUUUUUUUUUUUUUCAGAAGCCUUUCUUUUGUGAAUGUAAUGCUUGUUUUCAAAGCUGGAUUUAUAGACUGGCAAAAUAAUGUUCUCCUUUAUAGGAGAAAGUGUUGCAUAACGUUUCAUAAGACCACAUCCCGAGGUGGUUCAGCACGCUGUGUGUACCGAUAAACACGGACAGCAGAGAGUUCAGGAAUACUGACCUACUAAAACGUGUGGCUUGCUGAGAACUCUGAUUUCAUAUCCUAUCUAAAGGCUAAAGCAAAAGGAUUGUCUGACAAAGGUUUGGGCUAAUGCAGAUGCAGGAGGUACAAUACAGCAGGCAACUUUGGCACUUCUAUGCAGUUCUACUGAAGUCGAAGUUGACGCUGCUAAGAAGAAAGGCACACAAACUGUUUGCAGAAACGACACCUAUUAUAGGCUUGAUUUCUUCAGAGUGCUUAAUACAAACAUAAACUUUCUUUUUUUUAAUCUUACUGCUCACCUUCAUGAGUGUACUGAGGAAAUUUAAUCCAAACACCCAGAGCAGGGGCCCAGGGCCUUGUCCAGGUGGCUUUUGAUCUCUAAGGAGACACCACAGCCUCUCUGGGCAACCUGUGUCAGUGCCCAGCCACCUGCAUGGCACACAAGUGCUUUCUGAUGUUCAAGGGGAAUCUCCUGUGUUCCAGUUCGUGCUAAUGCCUCUUGUCCUGCAAGAGGUUUAGGAGAUGGCUGGAAGGACGCCUUUACUGAACGUACCAACCUGAGCCAGCAAAUGUUUGGUUUUUUAAACGCAUCCAGGGAUGGUGACUCAACCACCUCCCUGGGGAGCCUAUUCCAGUGCUUAACAACCCUUUCUGUAAAGAAGUGUUUCCUGAUAGCCAACCUAUACUUACCUGGCACAAUUUGAGGCCAUUUCCCCUCAUCCUGUCACCUGUCAGCAGUGAGAAGAGGCCAACCCCACUCUCACUGUAA